GACGAACGCUGGCGGCGUGCCUAAUACAUGCAAGUUGAGCGCUGAAGGUUGGUACUUGUACCGACUGGAUGAGCAGCGAACGGGUGAGUAACGCGUGGGGAAUCUGCCUUUGAGCGGGGGACAACAUUUGGAAACGAAUGCUAAUACCGCAUAAAAACUUUAAACACAAGUUUUAAGUUUGAAAGAUGCAAUUGCAUCACUCAAAGAUGAUCCCGCGUUGUAUUAGCUAGUUGGUGAGGUAAAGGCUCACCAAGGCGAUGAUACAUAGCCGACCUGAGAGGGUGAUCGGCCACAUUGGGACUGAGACACGGCCCAAACUCCUACGGGAGGCAGCAGUAGGGAAUCCUCGGCGAUGGACGAAAGCCUGACCGAGCAACGCCGCGUGAGUGAAGAAGGUUUUCGGAUCGUAAAACUCUGUUGGUAGAGAAGAACGUUGGUGAGAGUGGAAAGCUCAUCAAGUGACGGUAACUACCCAGAAAGGGACGGCUAACUACGUG
rnacentral:rRNA from 1 species